GCUGUCAAUUUUGUAUUUUUGUGAUUUUUCUCAGUUUUAAGAACGAAAUGCAUAUUAUUUCAACUUUUUUGUUAUAAAUGAUUGAAAAAAUACAUAUGUAAGAAAUUUGAAAAGACCAAAAUGAUAUGGGAUGUACAUGAUUCUUGUAAAAUCAUUUUUUGUAUCCCUAACCCAUUUUCUCAAAAUUUUGGCUAAAAAUACUGAC
rnacentral:lncRNA from 1 species